AGAAGAUGCUGGACUCAGUAGACUUUUGAAGGGCUCUUCCUAUGUUCUUAUAACAAAAUAUGAAAGGAUUUUUUUUAAGCCUGCAAUGAUGACUUUACAUAAAUUAAACAUGGACUAUGCAGAUAAAUAUAACUGAACCUCGCACGUUUAUAAAUUACAUUAGAAUUCAGUCUCAUCCAUCUCUUACAAAAUGCUUUGGCAGAAUCAGCAUAAGAAAAAAAAGUCAACUUUUUCCAAAGCAAGUAAGCAUUUGAUGUCAACGAGAACAUUUGGUAGUUCUCAAAGAACAACAGUUUCAUUGUCCGUAUUACCAGCUUUCCCCAGAUCCUGAAUUUUUUGUCAGUAGUAGUAGUAGUAGUAGUAAUAAUAAUAAUAAUAAUAAUAAUAAUAAUAAUAUUACUUAUACCCCACCCAACUUGUAAUACUGAACUUUGGUGUUAUUCUUUGAAGGAGAACUACUUGAAAAUGAUUUACAGAUGGUAUUUAACUCCGAGCAGACUUGCUAAGAUCUAUAAGACUGAAACAGAUAAGUGUUGGAGAUGCAAGGAGGUUGAGGGAACGUUCUUUCAUAUGUGGUGGACCUGUUAAAGGGUAAAAGAGUAUUGGGAAAUAAUUCAUAAUGAAAUUUUUUUUAAAAAUUUAAAAGUACUUUCCCCAAAAAUAUGUUGGGGAUAAUUCAGAUGGAAAUUCCCAGGUGUCAAAAAAGGUUAUUUAUGUAUGCCACUACUGCGGCCCGGGUUUAGUUAGCCCCAAAAUGGAAAACGAGCAAGGUCCCAACUGAAGAAGAAUGGCAACUUAAGCUGAUGGAAUAUGCACAGCUUGCGGACUUAACAUAUAGAAGAAGAGAACAAGAAGAACAUACGUUUAGAAAAGAUUGGAAAAUGUUUAUUGAACAUAUGAGGGGAAAUUGUGUACACUUGAAAACGUUGGCAGCUUUAAGAUAAAUUCAACAGUGUAAAUAAGUUUUGAUGGAUGCAAUGAUGGAAUAUGGAAAGGUUUAGUUUAUGUAAAAUAUGCAGGGAUUUAUGAUAUGCAAAAUGAAUCAUGGAAAGAGAAGAAGGGAAGUCAUGGAUAUUUUAAGGAUGUUUAAAUGAGUAUUCUAUAUUGUAAAACGGGGGACGCAGGUGGCGCUGUGGGUAAAACCUCAGUGCCUAGGACUUGCCAAUCGCAUGGUCGGCGGUUCAAAUCCCCGCGGCGGGGUGAGCUCCCGUCGUUCGGUCCCAGCUCCUGCCCACCUAGCAGUUCGAAAGCACGGCAAAGUGCAAGUAGAUAAAUAGGUACCGCUUUAUAGCGGGAAGGUAAACGGCGUUUCCGUGUGCUGCGCUGGUGCUGGCUUGCCAGAGCAGCUUCAUCACACUGGCCACAUGACCCGGAAGUGUCUCCGGACAGCGCUGGCCCCCGGCCUCUUAAGUGAGAUGGGCGCACAACCCUAGAGUCGGACACGACUGGCCUGUACAGGCAGGGGUACCUUUACCUAUAUUGUAAAACAGAAAAUUUAAUAAAAGUGUACACACACAAACACACACACACAUGCACACACACACAUAUGAGAAGUUCCUAGGAUGGUGUUUUGUCUGGUCUGGUCUCCUCUGGAAGGCACUGAAGCCUUUAAGACAUUGUGCAAAAUUUGAGUUUAUUAGGAAGCAUACAGGUUGAGCAUAGGAGGAAGGCAGACAGCUUAAACAAUACAACAGCCAAUCCGUUGCAUCACAAAUGAUCUGCCAGAGAUGCAGCCCCACAAAAGUACAUUCCAGGGCUCAACGUUAUCUCUUCCUUUCUCUGUUUCCCAACUGACUGGUACUCCAGUUGCGUUGUACUCUAACUCUCAUCAUCUGCAACCGGCAUGUAAAUAGUCAUGAACGAUGGGUAUUGUAGUCCAACAGCAUCUGAAAGACCACAGGUCGUCCGUCCCUGUCCCACCCGCCAGCCCGGUCACAUCCCUGCCGUAAAUCAAACUCACAGUGAUCAUUCUAACCACUGACAUCUGAUAGCAAACAAUAGAGUAGAUACUAGCAUCUCAGGACUGGUUGUCUUGAGGCAAGCAGGAUGAUGAAGAAGAAGAGUUUGGAUUUGAUAUCCUGCUUUAUCACCACCCUAAGGAGUCUCAAAGUGGCUAACAUUCUCCUUUCCCUUCCUCCCCCACAACAAGCACUCUGUGAUGUGAGUGGGGCUGAGAGACUUCCAAGAAGUGUGACUAGUCCAAGGUCACCCAGCAGCUGCAUGUGGAGGAGCGGGGAAUCGAACCCAGUUCACCAGAUUACAAGUCCACCGCUCUUAACCACUACACCACACUGGCUCAAGAGAAGUUAUGCUGGAAAAAGUAGACACAGCAACUUUGAUGAGCAAGUAAAAUCCUCAGUGAUACAUUGAGCAAUAGAUAUUGGUCAUAAUAUAGACAUGGAAGCAUGGGAACGAUUGUGGAAUAUGGAUAUCAGAUUUACAGCUUGUUAUGGUCUAAGAAAUAUGAAAAUGAUAUAUCGAUGGUAUCUAACACUGAGUAAAUUGGCAAAAACGUAUAAAUCUAAAUCAAAUAAGUGUUGGAAAUGUAAAGAAAAAGAAGGUUCUUUUUAUCAUAUGUGGUGGUCUUGUAGUAAGGUUAAAGUUUACUGGGAAAUGAUGUAUAAUGAAUUGAAAAGGAUGUUUGAAACAACUUUUGUGAAAAACCCAGAAGCUUUUCGUUUGGGAAUUGUAGGGACAGAACUACUGAAACUGUACAGAAACUUAUUCUUGUAUGCGACUACAGUGGCAAGAAUAUUACUUGCCCCAAAAUGGAAAGAAGCAGAAGUCCCAGCAAAGGAAGAAUGGAUACAAAAACUUAUGGAAUAUGCAGAAAUGGCAAAACUUACCGGAAGAAUAAGAAAUCAAGAUAACAAACUUUUGAUAAAGAAUGGAAAUGGUUUCUUGAAUAUUUACAGAUAAAUUGUAAACACACAAGAACAUUGGCAAGAUUAUUGUAAUAACCUGCAGUUUUAUAAAUAUGCAUUUAAAGUAGAUGAAUAAAUGAGCAAAUUAAGUCAUGAUAUGCAGAAGAUAUUAAAAAUAAAUUUAAGGAACUGCAGAAAGAGGGGGAAGGAAGUCAACAAUGUGAAAUGUUAAAAUAAUUGUCAAAUUAGUGAAAGGUAUAAACCUGAAAAGCAUUUCUUUCUUUUUUUAAAGACACAGCAACUUUGGAGAUCAAAGCAAACCACUUUGACACUGUCUGGCCACCUAAUGGGGUAAGUGAAGCAAGAGAUCUAGCCAACAACACUCUCUCUCUCUCUCUCUCGCUCUCGCUCUCGCUCUCUCGCUCUCUUUUGUUUUUGGCAAACUCCCACAAUGCAGAGAUUAAUGCACUCUGGAGUUCCUGGUUUCAGAGCACCAGUGAUGGAUAGCUCCACGUACUGCUUAUUUUUAUUUGCCAACCAUCUCGGUGGAAUGCUAGCUAACUGGCAAGGGCGCUGCAAAAUGUGGAUUUCUGCUGGCAUAGUCCAAGCAUUCAGUUGGUGCGGACAGAUACAUUGGUGCAAAUGUUAACAACUGGGAUGUUACAAGGGUGGGUUUAGUGAACUGGGCGAUUCCACUGCACCCGUGUAAAAUGAGACAACCUCUUCCCUCGCCUGCGACUGAAGUCUGCGAAAGAACAGGCUGUCUCUUCGAAGCAUUUGUGCUAGCUUGUUUGGGGAGCUGAUAUUUUUGCCUUUGUGCUUGGCAUUUAAAUCCUUUUCUUUUCUCCUCCUUCCGGUGGCAGUAUCAGGGACAUGAACUUUGAACAUGUUGCGCCUGAUUGCUGUAGGACAGGUGUACAGAUAGGGUUGAAUAAAUGCCGAGAAAAUGUUGUAGUCACCAAAUGGCUAUAGAUGUCCUAAUUCAAGACACUCAGCGUUAUAUAUUAGACAGGAGCCCUGCUUGAACAGUAAAAGAACACGUCACUAUAUAUCCCUGUCAGAUUAAAAAACUAAUUUGAAAAGAUUAAUGUAUUCCAUUCCUGUUAGCCUGAAUCAGAUACCGCUGUGCCUAUAGCACCACUGCCUCCUGAUUAUUGAAUUUUUAUGGCCUUGUAAUUAAUUGCAGAUUCCCUGUUUUGUUCUAUUUCUUUUUCUCUGACAUUUUAAUUUCAACAAAAAGCAGCGGUCUCCAUGCAGCCUCUCUCAGGAGAUCCUAAUGGCCUAUAAAACAAAAUGACUUAUAGAUAUGGCACCCACUUCAGCUGGCUAGCGAUUGUUCGAAACCUUGCUGAUCAUGCGGAAUUUAAUUUCCCCCUGUUCUUCUACUGUACUUAUUUCUUGCCUAUUAAAUUGCAGCUCUGCCGUCUUGACUAACAAAUGGAUGUAACAAAGUGCAACCCUCCAGUAAUAUAUUACCGUUACUACGUGCAAAUUUUUUAUCCCUUAAAAAUCCCCCAGUUUGUUUUAUCUAAUUAUCAGUGAAUAAAUGGCCGGGGCACACGCGUAGAAGGUUGGCCUUGAAACUGCACGUGAGGAUCUUGGAUCCUGAGGAAUCAUCCGAAACGGUGAGGAAUUUAAAGAAUCACACACACUGCUUUAAAUGUCUGUUUACAAUUUAUCUGUAAAUAUUCAGUAAC